GCAGGCUUAAUACAUGCAAGUCGUGGGGCAGCGCAGUGUAGCAAUACAUGGGCGGCGACCGGCAAACGGGUGCGGAACACGUACGCAACCUUCCUUCAAGUGGGGAAUAGCCCAGAGAAAUUUGGAUUAAUACCCCGUAAUAUUAUGAAAUGGCAUCAUUUUAUAAUUAUAGCUACGGCGCUUGAAGAUGGGCGUGCGCCUGAUUAGGUAGUUGGCGGGGUAAUGGCCCACCAAGCCUUCGAUCAGUAACUGGUGUGAGAGCACGACCAGUCACACGGGCACUGAGACACGGGCCCGACUCCUACGGGAGGCAGCAGUAAGGAAUAUUGGUCAAUGGACGCAAGUCUGAACCAGCCAUGCCGCGUGGAGGAUGAAGGUCCUCUGGAUUGUAAACUUCUUUUAUUUGGGAAGAAACCCACUUUUUCUAAGGUGGUUGACGGUACCAGAUGAAUAAGCACCGGCUAACUCCGUGCCAGCAGCCGCGGUAAUACGGAGGGUGCAAGCGUUAUCCGGAUUCACUGGGUUUAAAGGGUGCGUAGGUGGGCAGGUAAGUC
rnacentral:rRNA from 1 species